rnacentral:rRNA from 1 species
CGCUAUCGACAGGCUUAACACAUGCAAGUCGAGGGGCAGCACAGGUAGCAAUACCGGGUGGCGACCGGCGCACGGGUGAGUAACGCGUAUGCAACUUACCUAUCAGAGGGGGAUAACCCGGCGAAAGUCGGACUAAUACCGCAUGAAGCAGGGGCCCCGCAUGGGGAUAUUUGCUAAAGAUUCAUCGCUGAUAGAUAGGCAUGCGUUCCAUUAGGCAGUUGGCGGGGUAACGGCCCACCAAACCGACGAUGGAUAGGGGUUCUGAGAGGAAGGUCCCCCACAUUGGUACUGAGACACGGACCAAACUCCUACGGGAGGCAGCAGUGAGGAAUAUUGGUCAAUGGCCGAGAGGCUGAACCAGCCAAGUCGCGUGAGGGAUGAAGGUUCUAUGGAUCGUAAACCUCUUUUAUAAGGGAAUAAAGUGCGGGACGUGUCCCGUUUUGUAUGUACCUUAUGAAUAAGGAUCGGCUAACUCCGUGCCAGCAGCCGCGGUAAUACGGAGGAUCCGAGCGUUAUCCGGAUUUAUUGGGUUUAAAGGGUGCGUAGGCGGCCUUUUAAGUCAGCGGUGAAAGUCUGUGGCUCAACCAUAGAAUUGCCGUUGAAACUGGGGGGCUUGAGUAUGUUUGAGGCGGGCGGAAUGCGUGGUGUAGCGGUGAAAUGCAUAGAUAUCACGCAGAACCCCGAUUGCGAAGGCAGCCUGCCAAGCCAUUACUGACGCUGAUGCACGAAAGCGUGGGGAUCAAACAGGAUUAGAUACCCUGGUAGUCCACGCAGUAAACGAUGAUCACUAGCUGUUUGCGAUACACUGUAAGCGGCACAGCGAAAGCGUUAAGUGAUCCACCUGGGGAGUACGCCGGCAACGGUGAAACUCAAAGGAAUUGACGGGGGCCCGCACAAGCGGAGGAACAUGUGGUUUAAUUCGAUGAUACGCGAGGAACCUUACCCGGGUUUGAACGCAUUCGGACCGAGGUGGAAACACCUUUUCUAGCAAUAGCCGUUUGCGAGGUGCUGCAUGGUUGUCGUCAGCUCGUGCCGUGAGGUGUCGGCUUAAGUGCCAUAACGAGCGCAACCCUUGCCACUAGUUACUAACAGGUAAAGCUGAGGACUCUGGUGGGACUGCCAGCGUAAGCUGCGAGGAAGGCGGGGAUGACGUCAAAUCAGCACGGCCCUUACAUCCGGGGCGACACACGUGUUACAAUGGCGUGGACAAAGGGAAGCCACCUGGCGACAGGGAGCGAAUCCCCAAACCACGUCUCAGUUCGGAUCGGAGUCUGCAACCCGACUCCGUGAAGCUGGAUUCGCUAGUAAUCGCGCAUCAGCCAUGGCGCGGUGAAUACGUUCCCGGGCCUUGUACACACCGCCCGUCAAGCCAUGGGAGCCGGGGGUACCUGAAGUCCGUAACCGCGAGGAUCGGCCUAGGGUAAAACUGGUGACU